rnacentral:misc_RNA from 1 species
AGGUAAUCGCCAUCCUCUCUGACUUCACUGUCGUCUUCUUGGCACCUUCUUUUUGGAAAAUCGUGAAGACAUUUCAAAAACGCAAGAAAGGCCCUUGCUUUUAAACCAGAUCCUCCAAGGCUACAUCCCAGAACGGGAAAUAAUGGAGAAUUCAGCUGAUUUUGUAGAUAGAAUGGAUGGCAAUGGGGGAGAGACAAGAAAAGACACAGCAGCUUACGAUAGUUGUUCUUCUUCGACUAUAGCAUCUGGGUAUCGAUUAUUUGGUCGGCAAGCCUCACUUCAUCAAUUUAUGGGCGGUGGCAAAGCUGCUGAUGUGAUUUUGUGGAAGCGGCGGCAUGUUUCGUUUGGUGUCAUUGUUGUUGCAACAAUUGCAUGGUUUAUAUUUGAGCGGUC